rnacentral:rRNA from 1 species
GACGAACGCUGGCGGCGUGCCUAAUACAUGCAAGUUGAGCGCUGAAGGUUGGUACUUGUACCAACUGGAUGAGCAGCGAACGGGUGAGUAACGCGUGGGGAAUCUGCCUUUGAGCGGGGGACAACAUUUGGAAACGAAUGCUAAUACCGCAUAAAAACUUUAAACACAAGUUUUAAGUUUGAAAGAUGCAAUUGCAUCACUCAAAGAUGAUCCCGCGUUGUAUUAGCUAGUUGGUGAGGUAAAGGCUCACCAAGGCGAUGAUACAUAGCCGACCUGAGAGGGUGAUCGGCCACAUUGGGACUGAGACACGGCCCAAACUCCUACGGGAGGCAGCAGUAGGGAAUCUUCGGCAAUAGACGAAAGUCUGACCGAGCAACGCCGCGUGAGUGAAGAAGGUUUUCGGAUCGUAAAACUCUGUUGGUAGAGAAGAAUGUUGGUGAGAGUGGAAAGCUCAUCAAGUGACGGUAACUACCCAGAAAGGGACGGCUAACUACGUG